rnacentral:lncRNA from 1 species
GCGCAGCCCUGGUUCCCGCCCGUGCCUCUUCCUCCACACUUUCCCGCAAGCUGAGGGAGCCGGCUCCCGCCUUGGCCAGCCCGGAAAGGGGCUCCCACGGUGCAGCGGUGGGCUGAAGGGCUCCUCAAGCACGGCCAGAGUGGGCGCCAAGGCCGAGGAGGCCCCGAGAGCGAGCGAGGGCUGCCAGUAUGCUGUCACCUCUCAUUAUUAUUUGCCGAUGGGAGUGGAGAAGGAGACUUGGUGAUAACAGGACUGAAAACCUUGUGUAGGUAUGGUUCUAGUUCCAUUCAUAUCAGAAGAGAUACAACCUUAUACCUCUCCACAGAAUCCACGAAGAGUGAAAAAGAAACCAGCAAAUGCAGAAAAGAAGACUAAUG